UUUGGACUCUUUGAAUGAUGUUUUAUUAUUCGAAACACUUUUGUGAAAUAAUGACCUUUGUAUUUAAAUUGCAUUUUUCUUGCAUAUAUGUAAAGCAUUGAAACAGGUGGACUCAAGCCAAUUCUCUGUCUCUUUUCUGGCACUAUAGUUAUAGAUGUAAGCAGAAGAACAGCUUGUUUGAAGUAAUGGCAUGUUUGAAUGUUGUCUUUCUCUUUCCUCUGCCAGGGAGGACAUGUAUGCCCAGGACUCUAUAGAGCUACUAACAACAUCUGGUAUCCAGUUUAAAAAACAUGAGGAGGAAGGAAUUGAAACCCAGUACUUUGCAGAACUUCUUAUGACUUCUGGAGUGGUCCUCUGUGAAGGGGUCAAAUGGUUGUCAUUUCAUAGCGGUUACGACUUUGGCUACUUAAUCAAAAUCCUAACCAACUCUAACUUGCCUGAAGAAGA
rnacentral:sRNA from 1 species